CUGCAGUCAUUUAAGCAGAAAGUCCCUUUCCUGGUGUGGAUGUGGAGUGCAAGGGCUGCAAACGGCCACCUCCUUGAGUAUAAGCAGCCUGUGGCUUAUAUGGGUCACCCUGAGGGACUCUGAAGACAGUU